rnacentral:lncRNA from 10 species
GCUGAUAUAGUCACCAAUUUCUUCUGUUUAUAUGGCUCACUUCAGCAGCCACUGUCAAGAAAAGCUGGGAUACUUGAGCUGACAGAGAUGAGAUCACAAUAAACGCCAACCCAGAGAUGGCUACACAUGUAUUCUGAAAUGACUGCACUCUGUUGACCAGUCCAUUGAAAGAAUAAAAAUGGUAAAAAAAAGAAAACCGCUGUAGGACUACUGGAAAAGAGAGAAAAGGCUACUUUUUAUACCAUUGACAUAUAAGAAAUGUAGAACUUCUGGAGUGUGUGAAACACAGGGAACCACACUGAAACCAAACUAAUCAGACUUGCAUAGCAGGAGUCCACCUUUAAAAAAUAUUUCAGAGAAGUGUGUUUUCCUUCACUUCAGGAUUUCUAAAUGAGGGAAGGUGUGGGAACAGAACUGGAUCACAGAGGCUCCAACAAGCUGCAUCCCCCUCUCCACACCCCUAGGUCCCAAGACUCCUGAGGCACACAUCAGACUCCCAAAGUCAGGAAGUGGGGAUGUGAGCAGCACCAUAUGGCAGUGACAGCACCUUCUGCAAGAAGAGAAACUCUAAACCAAUUACAACAAUAUCAUUUCUGUGUUGAACCAUAAGUCAUUGGAAACCCACUGCAACCAUGCUUCCAUAAUAGCAGCUGGAAUCUCCAAUUCUACAGAGAAAAGGAAUGUUGAAGUAACAUACAUGUAGCUUUGAGGAGGAGGCACGUGCAUUCAAGCUCAUGGAGAGGAUUGACAGCCACAGACAGGCACUCAUAAGAACUGAAUGUAAAUCAUCAAAGAGAAUAUACUCAGGAGGCACUGUCUACCAUAGAGGGAAGGAAGAUGAGAUGGGUCAUUGGUGUCUUCCCACAACUUCAUACAUCUGCUGACAAUUGCCAAAUUUGGAGUCAUGUGAAAAGAGACGGGCUGAGUAAGAAAGAUCAGAGGAUAUCUUUGACAGUCACUUCUGGCAGACAAAACGGUUCCUGGUGGCCUGCCCAGCAUUCAGACUCUGGCCUCAGCCUCACAGCAGAGCAGCCUCAAGUCUCAAGAGUACUACAGGUGCCAGACCAAGCUCUACUUAGCUGAAUAGGUGUUGAAGAGGUUUGCAGCAAUACGCAUUACCACAGCCAGGACAAAGGAAGCAGGAAGAAGAUGGUAACUAUGCAGAGAUUUCCAAGCAAUUGAAAAUAAUAAAAAUGUAUAUAAACUUUCUUAAGUUCAGUGGUACCUAGUGUUGAUAUAGGAGUUAAGAAGAAAUCACUUAGGCAGAUAGUAAGGGUAUGGGAGUCCUCGAUAAGGCUUUCCUUUUUAAUGAAAGCAGCUCAAAAUCAUUUUCUAACAAAGAGCAGCCCGUAAAGUCGGGCUGCAGACACAAGACAAGCAAGCUGGGAGCUUUCACAGGUGAAUGCCAGGCAGAAACUAAGGACUAGACAUGUUCAAGAUGGUGGCUCCAUCUUCCCUUCUCUUUGUCAGCUACAUAUACAGUAAGAAGCAGACAAGAUGGUGCAGAUCAACUGAAAAGCCCAUUUGCAUAAUAAGAUUAGGGUGGGUGGCCAGCCUUCCUCAUGCUAUGUUAACGUCAUACCUCAUCAAACCAAUCUGUGAGUCCUAUGUAAAUCAGACACCACUUCCUCAAACCUGACUAUAAAAUUCGGGUGCAUCCACCACCUGCUGGUCCUUUCCACUUGGAGACCCCUCUUUCUAUAGAGAGAGCUAUUUCUCUUCCUCUUCUGCCUGUUAAACCUCUGCUCCUAAACUCCUCGUGUGUGUCCGUGUCCUAAAUUUUACUGGCGCAUGAUAAUGAACCCCAGGGUAUAUACCCAGACAAUGGAGCUGCUUUAGUGUUAACAUAAUUUUUAUUGUAUAGAAAAUAUCUCCUCCUAUGGUUAUAUAAAUUGUGUAACCAAGAGAUGCAUGUAGCAUUAUAAUCGCUAUUUUAUAUAUGUAAAAACUGAGACCCAUAUUAAUUUUGCAAAGAUCUGGCUGCUGUAGGAUUUGAACAUAUUCUUUUUCUUACUGAGUUAUAAUUAACACACAAUAAACAUUUCAAAUCUUAAGUAUGUAGCCCUGAAACUUUUUAUAAAUGUAACUUUCUAACAUUGUAACCAUGAGUAAAAUCAUCACCUUGAAAGCAAUAAAAACUGAGUUCAUUUCCUAAAGAUAGAACACUCACAAUGAAAAGAAAAUAAUAUUUCAAUCAUUUACCUAAGGACAAUUAUUUUUGUGCAUAAUUUCCAUUGCCUUAUGCAUUAACAGAAUGUAUGCAGUAAACAUUGCAAGCCACAUUAGUAAUGUGGAUGAAGAAACUGAUCAGGUGUGAAAAUCUCUUUGUUCUUAUCUCCUUAUUAAAGAUAUUCAUUAAGCUCCUUUUUCAGA